rnacentral:rRNA from 1 species
UACAGAGGGUGCAAGCGUUGUUCGGAAUUAUUGGGCGUAAAGCGCGUGUAGGCGGCUUUGCAAGUCGGGUGUGAAAUCCCCCAGCUCAACUGGGGAAGUGCGCUCGAAACUGCGAAGCUCGAGUACCGGAGAGGAUGGCGGAAUGCCCCAAGUAGAGGUGAAAUUCGUAGAUAUGGGGCGGAACACCGGUGGCGAAGGCGGCCAUCUGGACGGAUACUGACGCUGAGACGCGAAAGCGUGGGUAGCAAACAGG